UGGGGAAUAUUGCACAAUGGGGGAAACCCUGAUGCGGCGACGCCGCGUGAACGAAGAAGGUAUUCGUAUCGUAAAGUUCUGUCCUAUGGGAAGAUAAUGACAGUACCAUAGAAGAAAGCUCCGGCUAAAUACGUGCCAGCAGCCGCGGUAAUACGUAUGGAGCGAGCGUUGUCCGGAAUUAUUGGGCGUAAAGGGUACGCAGGCGGUUUAAUAAGUCGAAUGUUAAAGAUCGGGGCUCAACCCCGCAAAGCAUUGGAAACUGAUAAACUUGAGUAGUGGAGAGGAAAGUGGAAUUCCUAGUGUAGUGGUGAAAUACGUAGAUAUUAGGAGGAAUACCAGUAGCGAAGGCGACUUUCUGGACACAAACUGACGCUGAGGUACGAAAGCGUGGGGAGCAAACAGG
rnacentral:rRNA from 1 species